rnacentral:rRNA from 1 species
ACAACCUGCCCUUAGGUUGGGUAUAAACCCGGGAAACUGGGUAUAAUACCCGAUAGGUCUCGAUUGCUGGAAUGCAUCGAGAUUUAAAGCUCCGGCGCCUAAGGAUGGGUCUGCGGCCUAUCAGGUAGUAGUGGGUGUAGCGUACCUACUAGCCUACGACGGGUACGGGUUGUGAGAGCAAGAGCCCGGAGAUGGAUUCUGAGACACGAAUCCAGGCCCUACGGGGUGCAGCAGGCGCGAAAACUUUACAAUGCUGGCAACAGCGAUAAGGGAACCUCGAGUGCCAGGUUACAAAUCUGGCUGUCGAGAUGCCUAAAAAGCAUUUCAUAGCAAGGGCCGGGCAAGACCGGUGCCAGCCGCCGCGGUAACACCGGCGGCUCGAGUGGUAACCGUUAUUAUUGGGUCUAAAGGGUCUGUAGCCGGCCGGAUAAGUCUCUUGAGAAAUCUGGCAGCUUAACUGUCAGGCUUUCAGGAGAUACUGUCUGGCUCGAGGCCGGGAGAGGUGAGAGGUACUUCAGGGGUAGGGGUGAAAUCUUGUAAUCCUUGAAGGACCACCAGUGGCGAAGGCGUCUCACCAGAACGGACCUGACGGCAAGGGACGAAAGCUAGGGGCACGAACCGGAUUAGAUACCCGGGUAGUCCUAGCCGUAAACGAUACUCGCUAGGUGUCGGCCACGGUGCGACCGUUGUCGGUGCCGUAGGGAAGCCGUGAAGCGAGCCACCUGGGAAGUACGGCCGCAAGGCUGAAACUUAAAGGAAUUGGCGGGGGAGCACCACAACGGGUGGAGCUUGCGGUUUAAUUGGAUUCAACGCCGGAAAUCUUACCGGGACCGACAGCAAUAUGAAGGCCAGGCUGAAGACUUUGCCGGAUUAGCUGAGAGGUGGUGCAUGGCCGUCGUCAGUUCGUACUGUGAAGCAUCCUGUUAAGUCAGGCAACGAGCGAGACCCACGCCCACAGUUGCCAGCGUACUCUCUGGAGUGACGGGUACACUGUGGGGACCGCCGCUGCUAAAGCGGAGGAAGGAAUGGGCAACGGUAGGUCAGUAUGCCCCGAAUAUCCCGGGCUACACGCGAGCUACAAUGGUUGGUACAAUGGGUAUCUACCCCGAAAGGGGACGGGAAUCUCCUAAAACCAAUCUUAGUUCGGAUUGAGGGCUGCAACUCGCCCUCAUGAAGCUGGAAUCCGUAGUAAUCGCGUU